rnacentral:rRNA from 1 species
UAUCUCUGUAGAGUCUGCAUAUCAAUAAGCGGAGGAAAAGAAACUAACUAGGAUUCCCUCAGUAACGGCGAGUGAAGCGGGAAGAGCUCAAAUUUGAAAUCUUCAAGGUUUUACCUUGACGAAUUGUAGUUUAAAGAAGUGUUUUCUGUUGGAGUUUUGGUAAAAGUUCUUUGGAAUAGGACAUCAUAGAGGGUGAGAAUCCCGUAUUUGACCAUUAUUUCCAGCUUUGUGAUACACUUUCAAAGAGUCGGAUUGUUUGGGAAUGCAGUCCAAAAUGGGUGGUAAAUUUCAUCCUAAAGCUAAAUAUUGGCGAGAGACCGAUAGCGAACAAGUACCGUGAGGGAAAGAUGAAAAGAACUUUGAAAAGAGAGUUAAACAGUACGUGAAAUUGUCAAAAGGGAAGCGUUUGACACCAGUGUUGUUUUCUCGAAAAUCAAUUAAAAAUGGGGCUUGAUUUUGUGUUGUAUUGACCUUAUAAGCUUUCUGCACUUUUUUCAUGUCUUUUUUAAUGCACUUUUCGUUUAACAAGUCAACAUCAAUUUCUUUUGUUGUAAAAAGGGUCAUUGGAAGGUGGCUUUCUUUUCGGAGAAAGUGUUUAUAGCCUUUGACUCCUGCAAUCGGAGAGACUGAGGUCUGCAGCGUAGAUCCUUCGGGAUUAGAUUCAGUUAGAUGCUAAGUUACUACCGUUUUUAUAGACAACUUGUUGACUAUAAUUCGAUCCUGUAGCUUACUCGCUUAUGUAAUUUUACCUACGCUUAGGAUGUUGAGUCAUCACACAUCUCU